rnacentral:rRNA from 1 species
ACGGCUCAGUAACACGUAGUCAACCUAACCUAUGGACGGGAAUAACCUCGGGAAACUGAGAAUAAUGCCCGAUAGAACACUAUACCUGGAAUGGUUUGUGUUCCAAAUGAUUUAUCGCCAUAGGAUGGGACUGCGGCCUAUCAGUUUGUUGGUGAGGUAAUGGCCCACCAAGACUAUUACAGGUACGGGCUCUGAGAGGAGUAGCCCGGAGAUGGGUACUGAGACACGGACCCAGGCCCUAUGGGGCGCAGCAGGCGAGAAAACUUUGCAAUGUGCGAAAGCACGACGAGGUUAAUCCGAGUGAUUUGUGCUAAACGAAUCUUUUGUUAGUCCUAGAAACACUAACGAAUAAGGGGUGGGCAAGUUCUGGUGUCAGCCGCCGCGGUAAAACCAGCACCUCAAGUGGUCAGGAUGAUUAUUGGGCCUAAAGCAUCCGUAGCCGGCUCUGUAAGUUUUCGGUUAAAUCUGUACGCUUAACGUACAGGCUGCCGGGAAUACUGCAGAGCUAGGGAGUGGGAGAGGUAGACGGUACUCGGUAGGAAGUGGUAAAAUGCUUUGAUCUAUCGAUGACCACCUGUGGCGAAGGCGGUCUACCAGAACACGUCCGACGGUGAGGGAUGAAAGCUGGGGGAGCAAACCGGAUUAGAUACCCGGGUAGUCCCAGCUGUAAACUAUGCAAACUCAGUGAUGCAUUGGCCUGUGGCCAACGCAGUGCUGCAGGGAAGCCGUUAAGUUUGCCGCCUGGGAAGUACGUACGCAAGUAUGAAACUUAAAGGAAUUGGCGGGGGAGCAC